GGGCUCAGAGGAGUUGUAAUUUGCCGAUUAGAAUUCAGAGGGUAAAUAUAUAAUGGCAAGAUCCUGCACUGCUCCGAUGCACAGCGAUUUUGGGGUCCAUAUCUCAUUGAAGACAGCAACGCAAGUAGAUAGAGUGGUAAAGAAAGGAAUGGUAUGCUUGCCUUCACUGUUGGGGGCACUGAGUAUAAGCAUCCGAAGGUCAUAGUGCAACGUUACAGGACUUUGUUGAGGCUGAGUCUGGAGUACGGGGUGCUUUCCUGAUUGCUCCAGUACAGGAAGAAUGUGGGUGCUUUGGAAAUGGUGCAGAGGCUUUUUCCAAGGAACAUAGUUGUGAUUUUUGUUGUUUUUUCCUGGGAUGCAAAUAUCAAAUUCCAGAAACAUAGCUUUGAGGUGACAGGAGCAGAGUUGAUGCAGGUUUCACAAUAUUAGGAGAUGAAAUAAUGAAUUGCAAAUGGUACUGUACAAAACAGGCACAAAGUACAGGAGUAACUCAGCCAGUCAGGCAGCAUCCCUGGAGUUCAUGGACCGGUUACAUUUCUGAUGGAUAGUUAACAUUUCAUCUACUUUCUCUUGUGGCUCGUUCCAUUUACCCACCACCCUCUGCACAAAAAAGUUGCCCGUCGGAUUUUGAUUAAAUCUUCCCCUUCUUAACAAACUUAUGCUCUCUGGUUCUGGAAUCGCCUUCCUUAGAAGAAGAAUCUGUGCAUUAAAUGCCUCCUCGUUAUUUGAAUCUCCUCUAAGAUCACUCCCUCGUGCUCUUGUGCUCCAGGGAAUAAAAUCCAAUCCUGCCAAAACUCUAUAGCUCCGGCCCCUCAAUCCUUUGCAGUAUUCUUGUAAAUCUUCUCGGCAUUCUUUCCAACCGAAUCCAACUUGCUUGUCUUUUUUGAGGAAUGCUGGUGAUUGUUGACGUACGGGCCGUGGAUGUAGUCUGGCAAGGCACGUGUUGCCGGGUAAGCUGAUCCUUUAGAUUGAGGUGUAUGGGAUCCAUGGUGAUUUGGUAGCUUGGAUUCUGAUCAGGCUUACCCACAAAAAAUCGAAAGGGCGUUAUCAGUUUAGUUGUAGUUUUGCAAUACAGCGCGGAAACAGGCGCGGAAACGGCCCAGCGGGUCCAGGCCGACCAGUGAGCCACACACAUUAACACUAUCCUACAAACAUGAGGGACAAUUUUCACAUUUAUACCCAGCCAAUUAACCUACAAACCUAAACCUCUUUGGAUGGUGCGAAGAAACCGAACAUCUCGGAGAAAACCCACGCAGGUCACGGGGAGAGCAGCUGGAGGACCGAUGGUGUUCUGCAAUGAUUUGUGCAAAGAUAGUGGGAUAUGAGAGAGCAUAGCUUUAUGAUCAGACAAAGAAAGGUUGGAGGAGCCGGACAAUGCGCUACCCCAAGGGUACAUGCGGUGAGGGGGGAUGGUGUUAUCAAAUAGGUAGUGACGGUGAAGAGGCAUUUAGGAGACACAUGAUUGAAGAGAUUGCAGCUAUAUCGAUCGUGUGCAGUCACAGGAGAUUAACUUGCAAUCAUGUAUGACACAGAUGUGCGGUAAAAGGGAAACGUGCCUCACUGUUCCAGGUUGUAUGUCAGUAAUGGGAUGUGUUAUAGAUAAACACUGGGGAUUAGCUCCAUCUCCUGUCUCUCCGUCUGCUACCUGAACAUUCUCUCAUUUCCAGGCUGUGGGGGAAUGGUCUCACAGAUUCUUGCACGGAGGAUCUCGUCGCCGCUCUCAGCGCAAAGUGCUCAGUGACUGACGUGGAACUGGGAUCAAACUCGUUCUCGGAGCGAUCAGUCCCCGCUCUCUGCCGCCUCACACUGGCUCUCCCGAGUCUGCAGUGGAUCGGGUUCCGGGGGAAUCAGUUCAGUUCGAAUGGAGCAAAGCAGCUGCAAGGAUGCAGGUCGAAGCUGACCGUGGCGAUCUGAACAUCAGAAUGAAUUGACCGACUGUCCAAAUGGUGCCAGCACAACAACCUGGCUCUCAACAUCAGUAAGACCAAGGAACUAAUUGUGGACUUUGGGUGGGGAAGGAUGAGGACCCACAAUCCUGUUCACAUCAAUGGGACGAUGGUGGAGAGGGGCAAAAACUGCUAGGUGUGCAUAUUCCCGAAGAACCUUCCUGGACCCAGCACACUGGUGCAAUUAUAAAGAAGGCACAUCAGCGACUGCUUCCUGAGAAGAUUACGGCGGUGUCGGAAGAGGUUUCUCCUAAACUUCUACAGGUGCACGGUAGAGAGCAUUCUGACAGGUUGCAUCGUGGCCUGGUUCGGCAACUUGAACGUCCAGGAGCGAAAAGGUCUACAAAAAGUUGUGACACUGCCCAGUCCAUCACCGGCUUUGACCGAUCCACCGUCAAAGGAAUCUAUCAUAGUCCCUGCCUCAAAAAGGCAGCCAAAAUCAUCAGACCCACACCAUCCUUGCCACACACUCGUUUCAGCAUUGCCAUCAGGAAGAAUUUACAGGAGCCUGAAAACUAACGUCCAGAUUCAGGAACAGCUUCUUCCCUGCAGCCAUCAGGCUGUUAAACACAACAACAAAUAAGCUCUGAACUGCAACAGAGUAUAUUAUUAUUGCACUAUAUUUGUUAUUUAUUGAACUUUUUUUUCUCUUGCCCCAUUAUGUACUAUGUUUGCAUAUUCACAUAUUCUGUUGUGCUGCAGCAAGUAAGAAUUUAAUUGUCCCAUCCGGGACUUGUGACAAUAAAACACCCUUGACUCUUGAAUAAACAUCACCAUCGAUGCAGUGGGAAUAUUUUUGGUCAAUUUUCCGACCUCCUUUAUAAAAGAGCUCUGCUUUGCUUUGAUGCUGCGCUGUACCUAAAAUGUUGCACUAACCUUUCAUGCGAGGUUUCACAACUAGAUACAUUUUUCCAAUAGAUUUGGAAACAUGAAUCACAUAAUAUUUGGUGCAUGUAACACGUGUUAUACAGUCAACUUCAGUUAAUGGCAGAUGAAUGUAACUUAGUUAUUCUCCAUUGGAACGCCAAGUCAGCUGUUUGCAGCAUACCGAAUAUUUUUUUUAUAUACCUUGCGCUACUGUAGACAAUAGGUGCAGGAGUAGGCCAUUCAGCCCUUCGUGCCAGCACCGCCAUUCAAUGUGAUCAUGGCUGAUCAUCCCCAAUCAGUACCUCGUUCCUGCCUUCUCCCCUUACCCCGUGACUCUGCUAUCUUUAAGAGCCCUAUCUAGCUCCAGAGAACCGGCCUCCACUGCCCUCUGAAGCAGAGAAUACCGCAGACUCACAACUCUGUGUGAAAAAGUGUUUCCUCGUCUACGUUCUAAAUGGCUUACUCCUUAUUCUUAAACUGUGGCCCCUGGUUCUGGACUCACCCAACAUCGGGAACAGGUUUCCUGCCUCUAGCGUGUCCAAACCCUUAAUAAUCUUAUAUGUUUGGGCUCCAUACAAGCUGCUCUAAGAAUCCAGCACGGAGGCACUCUACAAACUCCCUUUCUUGGGGUCCAGUCCCAACCUGAUUUUCCCAGUCUUCCUGCAUGUUGAAAUCUCCCAUAACAACCGUAGCAUCACCUUUACUACAUGCCAACUUGCCCUGAUAAUGUGUACACCCAUUGGAUUCCAUAGGAUUCGGGAUCAUGCAUUGCGUAAAAUAAACUGGUUGCCAAC